rnacentral:miRNA from 1 species
AAGUUCGUUCGGAUUUUUCC